CGGGGCGUAGCGCAGUCUGGUAGCGCGCACGCUUGGGGUGCGUGAGGUCCCCGGUUCAAAUCCGGGCGCCCCGACCA
rnacentral:tRNA from 1 species